AAAACUAGCAACCAACAGCUACACGAUAUCAUUCAGUUACCAGCUAAUUGAUAAUAAGCAAGAUGUUCAAAGUGUUGAUGUUUAUUUGUUUCUUGGCUUUGGCCGCUGCCAAGCCUUUCGUUCCGCUUGCUUACACGGCGCCCGUAGCCGCGGCGUACACAUCACCCUUUGCUGCUGCGUACACGGCACCUGUAGCGUACUCUGCCUACACCGCUCCUGUUGCUGCCUACUCCGCAUACAGCUAUGCCUCCCCUUACGCCGCUUACUACUUACGUUGAAACAUACAACUGGAAAAACUGGAAACGAUAAAAAUAAUUAAAUAAAGUAUUUAUCCUAUAAAA